rnacentral:rRNA from 1 species
AUACCAGCCCCGCGAGUGGUCGGGACGAUUAUUGGGCCUAAAGCGCCCGUAGCCGGCCCGACAAGUCCUCUCCUAAAGCCCCGGGCUCAACCCGGGAAGUGGAGGGGAUACUGUCGGGCUAGGGGGCGGGAGAGGCCGAGGGUACUCCCGGGGUAGGGGCGAAAUCCUAUAAUCCCGGGAGGACCACCAGUGGCGAAGGCGCUCGGCUGGAACGCGCCCGACGGUGAGGGGCGAAAGCCGGGGGAGCGAACCGGAUUAGAAACCCUAGUAGUCC